rnacentral:rRNA from 1 species
GGAAUCUUGGACAAUGGGGGCAACCCUGAUCCAGCCAUGCCGCGUGGGUGAAGAAGGCCUUCGGGUUGUAAAGCCCUUUUGUUCGGAAAGAAAUCUCUUCGGCUAAUACUCGGAGAGGCUGACGGUACCGAAAGAAUAAGCACCGGCUAACUUCGUGCCAGCAGCCGCGGUAAUACGAAGGGUGCAAGCGUUACCCGGAAUUACUGGGCGUAAAGCGUGCGCAGGCGGUUUGUUAAGUCUGAUGUGAAAGCCCCGGGCUCAACCUGGGAAUUGCAUUGGAAACUGGCAGGCUAGAGUGCGGUAGAGGAUGGUGGAAUUCCCGGUGUAGCGGUGAAAUGCGUAGAGAUCGGGAGGAACAUCUGUGGCGAAGGCGGCCAUCUGGACCAGCACUGACGCUCAUGCACGAAAGCGUGGGGAGCAAAC